UCGAGGAUCUUCGUCAAUGGGCGAAAGCCUGAACGAGCGACGCCGCGUGCGGGAUGAAGGCCCUUGGGUUGUAAACCGCUGUCAGGGGGGAUGAAACCGCAAGGUUGACAGAGCCCCAGAGGAAGCACGGGCUAAGUUCGUGCCAGCAGCCGCGGUAAUACGAACUGUGCGAACGUUACUCGGAAUCACUGGGCUUACAGGGUGCGUAGGUGGCUUGAUAAGCAGGGUGUGAAAUCCCUCGGCUCAACCGAGGAACUGCGCUCUGAACUGUCGGGCUAGAGUAUGCUAGAGGUGAAUGGAACAUCCAGUGGAGCGGUGAAAUGUGUUGAUAUUGGAUGGAACACCAGAGGCGAAGGCGAUUCACUGGGGCAUAACUGACACUGAGGCACGAAAGCCAGGGGAGCAAACG
rnacentral:rRNA from 1 species